rnacentral:rRNA from 1 species
AUACCAAGGCGAUCGGGUGAACUGUGGUUAAGGAACUCGGCAAAUUGCCCCCGUAACUUCGGGAGAAGGGGGACCUCUGCUGGUGAUGGGCUUUACGUUCUGAGCUGGUGGGGGUCGCAGUGGCCAGGGGGAAGCGACUGUUUACUAAAAACACAGGUCCGUGCGAAGUCGUAAGACGAUGUAUACGGACUGACGCCUGCCCGGUGCCGGAACGUUAAGGGGACCGCUUAGCCAGCUUCGGUUGGCGAAGGUGAGAACUUAAGCGCCGGUAAACGGCGGUGGUAACUAUAACCAUCCUAAGGUAGCGAAAUUCCUUGUCGGGUAAGUUCCGACCUGCGCGAAUGGCGUAACGACUUCCCCGCUGUCUCAACCACAGACCCGGCGAAAUUGCACUACGAGUAAAGAUGCUCGUUUCGCGCAGCAGGACGGAAAGACCCCGGGACCUUCACUACAGCUUGACAUUGGCGUUUGGAACGUCUUGUGUAGGAUAGGUGGGAGACUGGGAAGCUGUCACGCUAGUGAUGGUGGAGUCAUUGGUGAAAUACCACUCUGGUCGUUUUGAACGUCUAACUCUGGUCCGUGAUCCGGAUCGGGGACAGUGUCUGGUGGGUAGUUUAACUGGGGCGGUUGCCUCCUAAAGAGUAACGGAGGCGCCCAAAGGUUCCCUCAGCCUGGUUGGCAAUCAGGUGUUGAGUGUAAGUGCACAAGGGAGCUUGACUGUGAGACUGACAGGUCGAGCAGGAGCGAAAGCUGGGACUAGUGAUCCGGCAUCGGCGUGUGGAAGCGGUGUCGCUCAACGGCUAAAAGGUACCCCGGGGAUAACAGGCUGAUCUUCCCCAAGAGUCCAUAUCGACGGGAUGGUUUGGCACCUCGAUGUCGGCUCGUCGCAUCCUGGGGCUGGAGUAGGUCCCAAGGGUUGGGCUGUUCGCCCAUUAAAGCGGUACGCGAGCUGGGUUUAGAACGUCGCGAGACAGUUCGGUCCCUAUCCGCUGCGCGCGCAGGAGACUUGAAGGGGGCUGUCCCUAGUACGAGGGGACCGGGACGGACGAACCUCUGGUGUGCCAGUUGUACCGCCAGGUGCACGGCUGGUUGGCUACGUUCGGAAGGGAUAACCGCUGAAAGCAUCUAAGCGGGAAGCUCGCCUUGAGAUGAGGUCUCCCACCCUGUGAGGGGGUAAGGCUCCCGGUAGAUCACCGGGUUGAUAGGCCGGAGGUGGAAGCACGGUAACGUGUGGAGCUGACCGGUACUAAUAGGCCGAGGACUUGAUC